GAUGAACGCUGGCGGCGUGCUUAAUACAUGCAAGUCGAGCGAACGGACGAGAAGUUUGCUUCUCUGACGUUAGCGGCGGACGGGUGAGUAACACGUGGAUAACCUACCUAUAAGACUGGGAUAACUUCGGGAAACCGGCGCUAAUCCCGGAUAAUAUUUUGAACCACAUGGUUCAAAAGUGAAAGACGGUCUUGCUGUCACUUAUAGAUUGUUCCGCGCUGCAUUAGCUAGUUGGGAAGGUAACGGCUUACCAAGGCAGCGAUGCAUAGCCGACCUGAGAGGGGGAUCGGCCACCCUAGAACUGAGACACGGUCCAGACUCCUACGGGAGGCAGCAGUAGGGAAUCUUCCGCAAUAGGCGAAAGCCUGACGGAGCAACGCCGAGUGAGUGAUGAAGGUCUUCGGAUCGUAAAACUCUGUUAUUAGGGAAGAACAUAUGUGUAAGUAACUGUGCACAUCUUGACGGUACCUAAUCAGAAAGCCACGGCUAACUACGUG
rnacentral:rRNA from 1 species